UAGCAAAAAUCAUCAUCGGUAAUCUCCCCAAUAACCAAAUCAAAACUAGUUUUUUCAACAAAAAAGAAAAUUGUAAUCGCUAUGGCUCCGUAGAUCGUAAAACAAGAUCCACAGGUUCCUAUCAGUAAGCGAAACACGUACAUUUGUUUAUGUCUAAUAUAGCGUCGAGUUAGGAUCAUUGCCCCAAAAAAAAGAGCUACCUUCGACGUGGCAUCAGACAAUU
rnacentral:sRNA from 1 species